UUUUCUCUUUGUCUUCUUCUUUUUUGUAUUAAAAUUCUAUAAAAUCUGAACCAAAUUUCUCAUAUUAGAUUUCUCUAUUGUUGUUGAAUAUAUGAGGUGAUUGAUCUCUAUGUGGGUUUCGCUGUAUCUGUUGAGGAAGCAAAUGUGUGUUGAUGGAUAGUUCUUUACAGAUGGAGUCCCAAGAAGGCAAGAAGCCUCUUCAGAUAUCUUUAUCAUUCAUUCCAUAGUCUCUGUAACUAUUGUUCAACAUAGUUUAAUAUUGGAAGUCAAUGGAUUGUUGGCUGAUUAGGCAAAGAUCAAUGGAUUUGUUGGUUAAAGAUAGUUGGGUUAUCAAGCAGCCAAUUAAAUUUUAUUUUUGCUGAGAUUGUAUUCAUUGUAAUCAGUCACUAAGGGAUUUUUAAUUCAUACAUUUUCCAGGCAAUAGUUUUGGCAGGCGAUUGAAGAAACAAUUUUGCAUCAGAAUCUCAGCCAAAAGAGGAUCAGAUUGUGUUUGUGCCAUGCGAUCGUACUGAGGUUUCCAUGCUACAGUGGUUGGUGGUAUAGUAGCUGCUCUGUUAAAAAAUGUUCUCGACAUAUGAGAUCAAAGAUAGGAGGUGAUGGUUUAUCCUGCCCUAUUCAUGGAGAUUAGGAUUUAGUUCCGGUGUAUGUUAUCAGCCCCAAUAUAAAUUCCUUCUUUGUUGACCUAUUGUUCUGAUAGUUUUUGUAUCAUCAUUGUUUUAAUAGUCACUUACAAAUAGUGGUAAUUCUAUAUCUGAUCAAUAUUUGCGUGCCUCAUUAGUAAUACAUGCUCAUAUACUUAUAUGGUCUAUGAAAGAUGUAUUAACAUAAUAAAUAUAAACUCAAUAAGUAUAGACUCUUUAUGAUAAUAAAGGAUGAUAAGAACCAGAUUACUGUGACU